rnacentral:rRNA from 1 species
UUAGAUACCCUGGUAGUCCACGCCGUAAACGAUGAGCACUAAGUGUCGGACGUAAGUUCGGUGCUGAAGUUAACGCAUUAAGUGCUCCGCCUGGGGAGUACGGUCGCAAGACUGAAACUCAAAGGAAUUGACGGGGACUCGCACAAGCGGUGGAGCAUGUGGUUUAAUUCGACGCAACGCGAAAAACCUUACCAGGCCUUGACAUACCGAUGACGUCUUUAGAGAUAGAGAGUUACCUUCGGGUACAUCGGAGACAGGUGGUGCAUGGUUGUCGUCAGCUCGUGUCGUGAGAUGUUGGGUUAAGUCCCGCAACGAGCGCAACCCUUAUCAUUAGUUGCUAACAGUCAGAUGAGCACUCUAAUGAGACUGCCAGCGAAAAGUUGGAGGAAGGUGGGGAUGACGUCAAAUCAUCAUGCCCCUUAUGGCCUGGGCUACACACGUGCUACAAUGGCUGGUACAAAGAGGAGCAAAGCUGUGAAGUGGAGCAAAUCUCAAAAAGCCAGUCUCAGUUCGGAUUGUAGUCUGCAACUCGACUACAUGAAGUUGGAAUCGCUAGUAAUCGUAAAUCAGCAUGUUACGGUGAAUACGUUCUCGAGUCUUGUACACACCGCCCGUCACACCAUGAGAGUUUGUAAUACCCGAAGCCGGUGGCUUAACCGCAAGGAGAGAGCCGUCUAAGGUAGGACAGAUGAUUGGGGUGAAGUCGUAACAAGGUAUCCCUACGAGAACGUGGGGAUG